GAAAAUGCCAAAUCUAAUUUUCCUUCUCCCAAUUUCACUCUUCCUCUAAAUCCCUAGUUUCAACCUCACACGAUUUUUUUGCUUUCGCUCUCCAAAUUCGCUUUCCAAAUUCUCAUUCUCUCGCCGCCAUUUCGUCUUGUCUUCUCUCUCGCAUCUCAACUUCGCCAGUUACAUUUGGAUUGGAUUGGAUUGGAUUGCAAUUUCCUGUUACGCUCGCUCGUGUUCUACUUGCGGUGUUAAAUUCACACCUGAAAAUGUAGAAGACGAGAAAUCACAUGCGCAAUUUCACAAAAGUUUCAAACAAGGAAUCCAAUUCAGAGGUUUGACUAAUGAAAGGAUUAUUUCUUCUCAUAAGAGUGGUGGAAUUAUUUUGGUGUCUAAUACUGAGCAAUCUUCUCAUAGAAACCAUCAGCAUUGGUAGCUUGAAGAAGUUGUGAAGAUGAUGGAAAUUGAGUCAGGAAGGGAUAGCUCAUCAGCACUGUAAGGACAGUAAGUUGAUAGCUUUAACUUACCAGACAUGCCGACUAUCGGAGCAGAUUUGCUGAGAGUUUUUGGUCUCCCUCGCCUUUUGUCUUCAGAUCCUGCCUUUUCGAAUUUCUAGUAAUCCUCACUUGCUAAUUAAUUUCAUUUUUGUGUUCAAUUUCUUAAUCAGAUGAAUUCUGUAAAACUAUCCUAGAAUUAUAAUAUAGUAUUGAGACUAAUAUAACUGAAUGUAAAUCUUGUUGUUUGGUAAUUUUAUUUUUCAAAACCCUUUAUGGUUAGAAGCAGCUUGGAAACUACCCUUCAAAAGUCAUGUAAGCUUUUGGUCAAAAAAUAAGUCAGAUAAGCUUCAAUUCUUUAAUUAAAAUCUUUUUCAGUUUCAUAUACUUAAAAUGAGCUAAAAUUCAUAUAGCCACAAUAGUAAGAGAUCAGAACAGAACUUCAUAUACACUAUAUUAUAAAGACGUGUUAAUCUCUAACUAUAAAGAAACGACUAAUCAAUUCUCACUUUGUCCAUCUUAUAUUAUAUGGUAAGACAUAAGGUACCCUAAAUAUGAUAACUUUGGCCCAAUAGUCCUUUAUGUGAAAAUUUGUGUCAUGUCCUGUGUUUGUGAUUGAUUCAUGUAAAGUGAGAUACUAGUAGGAAACAAUUGUAUUUUGAGUGAACUAUAUGUACAAAGCAAAAUAAGUUACCUUUGACCAAAUGAAUUCUUUAUACAGUUUUCUUGACCUCGUAUCACUUGUUAAAGCUAUCCAAUUUUCUUCACACUCUGCACUGUACUUAUUAUGUGGAUGUGUCUGAAUCAGACCCAGAUUUUGACGUGUUUGUUUCUUUGUUUGUUCACUUGUGUAGGAUUUGAUUGUAGAAGUUUACAGUAGAAGUUUAUUGCAGUGUGUGCAAGCAUUCAUGGCCACUCACUUAUCGGUAAAGACAAUGCCACACACCUAUUACAAAUAUCUUAUUGUGUUAUUUGAGCUUUGAUGUAGUAAAAAUAGAAGCUGCCAGUAUCAUGGAAAUGAAGACUUACAAUACAGAAGUUGUUUUCCUAAAAUAUUGAUGCACCCAAACAAUUUACAAUGGUUGCAUUAGUUUGAUGAUGGAAACUCACCAAUGAAGAUUGUUGUUUGUGCCCCAUAUAUCAGGGAAACACCAUAGAGCUGAAAUGGUAGACAAUUGAAGACUAUGAGAAGUUAAUUUGUGCAUCAAAUGGAGAGUCACUUUUUGUCAUGGAGGAACCACGUUCGGCUCGAGAGAAGAACCACGUUUAUUUAGGAAGCAAUUAAUGUGUGAUUGCUUGAUAUGAGAGUCACUUGAUGUAUAUAUAUAGCCGUUAUAAUUAUAUUGAAAAUUUGAUUGUAAACUUUAGUUUCAAGAACAAUGGUAACACCGGUGAAGAUUUCUUUGUAUUUUGGUGAAAUAUGUGAUCCCCAUGGAUUGAAUUAAAAAAUGUUUCCAUAUUAAUUUUUUA